AGUUGGUGGGGUAACGGCCCACCAAGGCGACGAUGUCUAGGGGCUCUGAGAGGAGAAUCCCCCACACUGGUACUGAGACACGGACCAGACUCCUACGGGAGGCAGCAGUAAGGAAUAUUGGUCAAUGGGGGCAACCCUGAACCAGCCAUGCCGCGUGCAGGACGACUGCCCUAUGGGUUGUAAACUGCUUUUGUUAGGGAAUAAACCCCACUACGUGUAGUGGGCUGAAUGUACCUAAAGAAUAAGGAUCGGCUAACUCCGUGCCAGCAGCCGCGGUAAUACGGAGGAUCCGAGCGUUAUCCGGAUUUAUUGGGUUUAAAGGGUGCGUAGGCGGCACUUUAAGUCAGGGGUGAAAGACGGCAGCUCAACUGUCGCAGUGCCCUUGAUACUGAAGUGCUUGAAUGCGGUUGAAGACGGCGGAAUGAGACAAGUAGCGGUGAAAUGCAUAGAUAUGUCUCAGAACACCGAUUGCGAAGGCAGCUGUCUAAGCCGUUAUUGACGCUGAUGCACGAAAGCGUGGGGAUCGAACAGGAUUAGAUACCCUGGUAGUCCACGCCCUAAACGAUGAUGACUCGAUGUUUGCGAUAUACCGUAAGCGUCCAAGCGAAAGCGUUAAGUCAUCCACCUGGGGAGUACGCCCGCAAGGGUGAAACUCAAAGGAAUUGACGGGGGCCCGCACAAGCGGAGGAGCAUGUGGUUUAAUUCGAUGAUACGCGAGGAACCUUACCCGGGCUUGAAAGUUACUGAAGGAUGCAGAGACGCAUCCGUCCCUCGGGACAGGAAACUAGGUGCUGCAUGGCUGUCGUCAGCUCGUGCCGUGAGGUGUUGGGUUAAGUCCCGCAACGAGCGCAACCCCUAUGUUUAGUUGCCAGCACGUCAAGGUGGGGACUCUAAACAGACUGCCUGCGCAAGCAGAGAGGAAGGCGGGGACGACGUCAAGUCAUCAUGGCCCUUACGUCCGGGGCUACACACGUGCUACAAUGGAUGGUACAGCGGGCAGCUACACAGCAAUGUGAUGCCAAUCUCGAAAAGCCAUUCACAGUUCGGAUCGGGGUCUGCAACUCGACCCCGUGAAGUUGGAUUCGCUAGUAAUCGCGUAUCAGCAAUGACGCGGUGAAUACGUUCCCGGGCCUUGUACACACCGCCCGUCAAGCCAUGAA
rnacentral:rRNA from 1 species